AUUCCAUCCUCGGGCACCUCUUGGUGGGUCAUCGUAGCUCUAUGCUCUUUUCUUCUGGUCUGAAAACAGCGCAGCAGCUGCACAAUUUCCAUCUUCAGCACAUCCCAUUCACAGAAGAGCGAGUGUCUUUGCAGAUGCCACCCAGAUGAACAAUGCAGUGCCCACCUCUCCUCUGCUCCAGCAGAUGGGCCAUCCACAUUCGUACCCGAACCUCGGCCAGAUCUCCAACCCCUAUGAACAGCAGCCACCAGGAAAAGAGCUCAACAAGUACGCCUCCUUAAAGGCAGUCGCUGACAAGGUCAAUGAUGACUUCUACACCAAGCGACGGCACCUGGCUGAGCUGGCUGCCAAAGGGAACUUACCUCUGCACCCUGUAAGAGUGGAGGACGAGCCCCGGGCCUUCAGCCCUGAGCACGGUCCUGCCAAGCAGAAUGGACAGAAGUCCCGCACCAACAAGAUGCCCCCACAUCCCCUGGCCUACAACUCUACCACCAACUUUAAGGGCUGGGACCCCAACGAGCAGUCCCUCCGGCGGCAGGCUUACAGCAACAAGG
rnacentral:sRNA from 1 species